rnacentral:rRNA from 1 species
UACGUAGGAGGCGAGCGUUGUCCGGAAUCAUUGGGCGUAAAGGGCGCGUAGGUGGCCCGGUCAGUUCGUGGUGAAAGCGCGGGGCUCAACCCUGCGUCGGCCAUGAAUACUGCCGCGGCUGGAGCACUGUAGAGGCAGGCGGAAUUCCGGGUGUAGCGGUGGAAUGCGUAGAGAUCCGGAAGAACACCGGUGGCGAAGGCGGCCUGCUGGGCAGUUGCUGACACUGAGGCGCGACAGCGUGGGGAGCAAACAGG